rnacentral:rRNA from 1 species
GAUGAACGCUGGCGGCGUGCCUAAUACAUGCAAGUCGAGCGAACGGACGAGAAGCUUGCUUCUCUGAUGUUAGCGGCGGACGGGUGAGUAACACGUGGAUAACCUACCUAUAAGACUGGGAUAACUUCGGGAAACCGUAGCUAAUACCGGAUAAUAUUUUGAACCGCAUGGUUCAAAAGUGAAAGACGGUCUUGCUGUCACUUAUAGAUGGAUCCGCGCUGCAUUAGCUAGUUGGUAAGGUAACGGCUUACCAAGGCAACGAUGCAUAGCCGACCUGAGAGGGUGAUCGGCCACACUGGAACUGAGACACGGUCCAGACUCCUACGGGAGGCAGCAGUAGGGAAUCUUCCGCAAUGGGCGAAAGCCUGACGGAGCAACGCCGCGUGAGUGAUGAAGGUCCUCGGAUCGUAAAACUCUGUUAUUAGGGAAGAACAUAAGUGUAAGUAACUGUGCACAUCUUGACGGUACCUAAUCAGAAAGCCACGGCUAACUACGUG